rnacentral:rRNA from 1 species
GACGAACCGUGCGAACGUUGUUCGGAAUCACUGGGCUUAAAGGGCGCGUAGGCGGGCUACCAAGUCUGUGGUGAAAUCCUCCAGCUCAACUGGAGAACGGCCGUGGAUACUGGGAGCCUCGAGGGAGAUAGGGGCAGGCGGAACUGAUGGUGGAGCGGUGAAAUGCGUUGAUAUCAUCAGGAACACCGGAGGCGAAGGCGGUCCACUGGGUCCUUUCUGACGCUGAGGGACGAAAGCUAGGGGAGCGAAGCGGG